CCCCUUCCUGAAUUCCAAGACAGUCCUGCUAAGAGAACCCAGUCUCUACCCACAGGUAACAUACUUUUGCUCACUCACCCUGGAAGAUGUGUCCCAGCUAGUGGGAGGAAGCGGCUAUAGGAAUAGAGGAAGAUACCCAUAUUGUGUUGGGGACCUCCAGAUCAAUGACACAGUAGCCAGAGGUCCCUGUAUCUGGAAGUGCAGGAAAACCUGGUAUAUGGAGAACAUGGAUUCUACUAGGGACACGGCUCCUAACUACUAGCUCACAACUUUAGUGGAGGCAUGUCACUUGUUGAACCUUGGUUUUCCCGUUUGUCAAGGAGACUGGUAACCCUUUCUUUGUGGAUGUGUGCAGGGAUUAAAUAAAUUGAUGGCAUGCAAAUAAUUAAAUGUGUGCAUAGGGUGGCACUGAGCAGUGUCAGCAAAGCUCAGGAUCAAUCUUAUUGCUGGUUGUUCAUGAUUUGUAUUGCUAUUGAUUAGAAGAAGGAUUAGCACCUUUUCUCCAGCGUCUCAGCAGAGAUCUAGAGAAGGCAGCAGGUGGGGAGAUGGAGGGUCGCAAGUGGAGGGAAGUAGAACAGCUUUAUGCUGUUUCUUCUCAUUUGUAAGGAAUGAUGGGUAGCUGUGAGCAGUCACCCCUAUCCUACUUGGGGCUCUUUCCCUGCACUCGCUCCUAUUUGUGCACACACACACACACACACACACACACACACACACACACACACACCAGACUGUGAGCCAGCAGAGGCCUGGCUUACAGCCUACAGCAUUUCUGGCCCUGGUAUGUGUCCCUCUGUUGAGGGGAAAUUAGCAAGAGUUUGGCGUAUGGUCAGUGGUUCGCAGGGACUAGAGACAAGGCUGAAGCUUUUGAGAUUAUAGGGCUUUGAGGAGAGCUGGGGUGUGGUCCAUGCAGUAGCCAGACCUGUAGCAGAGUUUGCCCACCUAGACCCUGGGUUGGGGAGAGUGGGGUUUCCUAGCUGGUUUCUAUAUAUGGAGAUGUGGUGGGAUACCAAGGG